rnacentral:ncRNA from 1 species
AUUAAUAAAUAUUGGUUUGCAGAUAUAUUGCUAGAAAAUGGCUAGCAGUUUCUACCACGCCCCUAAAGUCGUGACUAUUCGCAAAUGCAACACGACC